UAUGGAGAUGGGGGUGGAUUUGAUAUGGUUGGGGUAAUGUCUCUUGAUUCUAGUACAAUACCAUUUAUAUCAAGAAAUUGUUCUGUAUAAAAUGAGCAUUAUAACAUCUGCCUGAACUUACAGCCGCCGGCUUUGCUCCUCCUCUGGCCGGCGCGUGACGGCUCCGUUAGCGUCACCGUCGGUCCAGUCCGAGUGUUUUCUUCUUCUAUUGUAGUUUGUGUGGUCAGUUUUCUGGGUAGCUUCGGAUCAGAACAAAGGAGAGGUUCCGGGUCGAAGAGUUCGUGAAUCGUUAUUCUGGUGGUUCUGAACUGGCGGGUUGGAGUUCGUUGUUGAUUUAUCAUGGUGGAUUCUGCUGGGUUUUAGCCCUAUGUCCCUCUUCGUCAGUUUCUGUUUUGAUCAUCUUGCCUGCGUUUGAAUCCGAUUAAUUGUGCUUGGAGUGUAGAGUUUUUCUUAGUUGAUCUUUGAUUCAGCUACGGUGAAGCAGCGGCGUGACGUGGGAUGAGCAGUUGGUUGGUAUUGUGGUCGAGGAGAAGCUGGUUUCAGGACACCUCUCCAUCUCCCUGUUGCUAAAGAGGUUAAGGCUUUGAAGUGUCCAGAUGAAGGGUAUGUUGAGUAGGGGGUUUAAUUUGUAUCGGGUGUUGCUUCUCUUUGGGUGUUAUUUUGUUUCGCAAAGUGGUGUUUGUGUGUAGUCAUCGUGAACGAGUGGUUCAGAUGAGGGUGCUGCUAUUCUUCUUGAAGUCCUCUGUGGUGCGUGCUCUCUUGCUCUCUGUUCGUAGCAAGAAGACCGGCUAGUCGUAGUCAAUUAAAUUCUUGUUCUAUUAUCUCUUGUUAGCUUGUUUCUUGGAUUCUCUUAGCAAGGUGUAGUUAUGGUUUAUUUGAUUGUUUAGCUGCUCGUGUCCUAUCCUUUUGAGCUUAAGUUUCCCACUGUUGUGAUUUCGUUUCCGGAGAUCCGUAUGUGUUCUGCCGGAUUUAGUGUUUCAUCAUGUAUCUUUCUAUGUUAUCAAUGAAAUUCUUCAUAUG